GGUUUCACCCUGGAAUACGCACGCGGUGACGGCGCGUGGCAGUCCGUCUCACUGGCGGGUACAGCGCGCAGUCACGCACUUCGGCAGCUGUCGUGCGGCGCGUCGUACCGCUUGAGACUGACGGCACACAACGCGGCUGGCUCGUCUGCUACGAGUGAAGUGUUGUCUGCUUCGACUAGUGGUGGAGCAUCAAAACCAGCAAAUGAAAAACACUUAAUCACAAGCAACAGUAGCUGUGUCCGACUAAAUUUCCUGACAUGGGAUAGCAACAGUUGCCCUCUCAUCCAUUUUGUGGUUUCCGUUCGAAGUUUUGAGGAAGCAGCUUGGAGAUCAGAAACUGUUGGGUUGGAAAUAGUACCAACUGCUCUGUGUGGUCUACAUCCAGCGACUUGGUAUCAUUUGAAAGUGGUCGCGCUGAGCACUGCUGGAUCUACUACUGCGACAUAUUACUUUUCGACGUUAACUGAAGAUGGAGAACGAAUCGAAGCACCAGCUCAAUUUCCUUCGGGUGGCGAGGAAGAUGUAGCGGCAGGAGGUGGCUUAGCUAUAUUAGCGGCAGGAGCUGGUCUUCUUGUGGCGUUGCUACUGUUAGCUAUUUUGGCGUACAGAAGAACAGUAACAGCUUCCUGCUUCAGAAAAGGCUACGAACAAAGCGGAGUUUCAGAAGAGGAUAAGUCUAUAGAAAAGCGCGACAACAGAAGGAACUGCCAGCAAGUGUACACUUCGUCUCCCAUCAAAAACCCCAAUAAGAAGGAACAGCAAGAGAUGUACGAGAUCAGCCCGUACGCGACGUUCAGUAUGGCGGGCGGGGCGGGCG
rnacentral:misc_RNA from 1 species